UAUAAACAGAGCAGUUCCCUGUCCCGGCAGGACAGGCAGUAACAUUGUCUGGCAGCAAGGUUCCAUGCAACAUCCUGGAGAACAAGGACUCAGAAAACAAGUGUCUACAAUACUGCAAGUCCAGAAGCCAAGUCAAGGGUCAAAGUACCAGGUGUCAGUCUGAAUCUAAUGGUUUAUGUCAACAGUAAAACUAGUUCAUGCUCAAGGCCAGACCAGAGGUCAGGAGCCAAGAAAUCUAACACACAGCAUGAGUUGAAACUUGGCAUCCUGAGAUCUUCAAUGUGAAAUCAACUUUUAAAAAAAUCGAGGGGAAAUGACUAGCUUUAGAGUAACAGAGGAAGUUGUUAUUUCUGAAUAAAUAUUUCUGUGCGUCGAUUCCUUGUAAGACUCAUUAUAUUUAAAACAAAUAAUGGAAAAUUAAAAGUUCAUAAUACAGUUUCACUGCAUUUAAGGGCCUUUCCCCAAUGGACACAGAAAAUUUAGCCGCAUAUGCUUUCUGUAAUAUGCAGUAGAUUGCUUAUAUGGCAAAUAAAAUGUCUACUUUAUUAAGUAUAAUGAUUGCAUACUGGCAUUACAAAUAUCUUUUGGAAAAAUACGGGGCUUGUGUAAGAUGUUACCAUCUUUUAAAGAGCUUGUGUGGUGAAGCUCUCUUUUUAGCUUAUAUAGUAGCACAUAUUUCCUGU